UUUACUGUAAUCAUUUGUUCAACAAUCCAAUCUUCUGUGGCUGAAUCCACAUUGUCAAACAAGGUUGGCCAUCUCAACUUUGCAGCAUACAAAUCAUCAAACAAAAUAUGAAAAUUGCUGGUUACAAUCAGAAACUUUCUACUAUUUUCAGUUGUUUUCAUCAAUUUUUAUUUGUAACAAAAUCGUAGAAGAUACUAGGUGAGAGAGCAAUAACCUUGAGAGCAGAGAUAGUUGUCUCUCUACAGGUAAAUUUCGCAUACCCAUUAACCAUACUAGUCGACGAGUAAAUGUCUCUGGUUUCCAUUCUAUCAAAAAGCUCUUUAGCAUCAACCAAACUACCAUCUUUC
rnacentral:lncRNA from 1 species